rnacentral:misc_RNA from 1 species
GAUGAAGAACGUAGCGAAAUGCGAUAAGUAAUGCGAAUUGCAGAAUUUCCGUGAGUCAUCGAAUCUUUGAACGCACAUUGCGCCCACUGGUAUUCCGGUGGGCAUGCCUGUUCGAGCGUCAUUAUCCUCCCUCAAACCCCGGGUUUGGUGUUGGACCCAAGUUGUGUGAACAACUGGUCUCAAAGACAAUGACGGCGUCCGUGGGACCCUCGGUGCAACGAGCUUUUAGGAGCACGCAUCGAGUUGCAAGGACCUUCCGGGCCGGUCUCCUUUACCAUUUUACAAGGUUGACCUCGGAUCAGGUAGGAAUACCCGCUGAACUUAAGCAUAUCAAUAAGCGGA